AUACGGAGGGUCCAAGCGUCAUCCGGAAUCAUUGGGUUUAAAGGGUCCGCAGGCGGUCAAUUAAGUCAGAGGUGAAAGCCCAUCGCUCAACGAUGGAACUGCCUUUGAUACUGGUUGACUUGAGUUAUACGGAAGUAGAUAGAAUAAGUAGUGUAGCGGUGAAAUGCAUAGAUAUUACUUAGAAUACCGAUUGCGAAGGCAGUCUACUACAUAUAUACUGACGCUGAGGGACGAAAGCGUGGGGAGCGAACAGGAUUAGAAACCCCUGUAGUCC
rnacentral:rRNA from 1 species